ACUUAAAUAGCUUAUAACAGAGCAUAAUAUUGAAGAUAUUAAGGAAAUAAAAUUAUUUUUAAGUAUUAUA
rnacentral:tRNA from 1 species